rnacentral:rRNA from 1 species
UACGUAGGGUGCAAGCGUUAAUCGGAAUUACUGGGCGUAAAGCGUGCGCAGGCGGUUCGGAAAGAAAGAUGUGAAAUCCCAGAGCUUAACUUUGGAACUGCAUUUUUAACUACCGGGCUAGAGUGUGUCAGAGGGAGGUGGAAUUCCGCGUGUAGCAGUGAAAUGCGUAGAUAUGCGGAGGAACACCGAUGGCGAAGGCAGCCUCCUGGGAUAGCACUGACGCUCAUGCACGAAAGCGUGGGGAGCAAACAGG